GAUAGUGCAGUUUUGAGCGGUUUGUUGGCGUUAGAGUGGGCGAGGCUUUAUGGGUCAACAAAACAAACAAACUUGCACUGCGUCUACUGCUCUUCCAAAUUGUAAAGUUCCCGAGUAUGCACAGGCAGACGGACAGGGCCAGAUGGACUCGUAAAUAAUAUAUGGUUGGCAAUGCAACUUCGACAAUUUUUUUGCGCUUGGGACAAGGAUCGCUGCUUAUUGGACUGGAGCUGGCUGUGCUGCUGUGAUAGCUGCUGGUUCCAGACGAGUCCCCCACACCGCUGGAGCCUUGGCCGUAGAAUUGCAGGGAUCCGUGGAACUUGCAGUGCUUCUUCUUUUGGCAGGCCUCGACGACAGUUUGCAGUAAAGAGUACUGAGGAUGGAAGGAACAAACACAAGAAUAAGUUUUUCUCCCGACCUAUUAUUAAUACUCCUUAUAAAGUGCAUGCACACCAAAAGGAAAAUAUAGCGAAAACCUCUCCUUUUAGCUUGUUAUUAUACAUAUUCAUCGUAGAGUAAAAACAAGAGAAAAGGCAAUAUUCGAUUUCCUUAACUAUCAGAAUGAACAGAACGAGUGCUUUUUGCGGCUUGUGGUUUUAAAGUUGAAAGCCAAAUAAUAUAAUGAGCAAAAAUACAAA